rnacentral:rRNA from 1 species
GAUGAACGCUGGCGGCGUGCCUAAUACAUGCAAGUCGAGCGAACGGACGAGAAGCUUGCUUCUCUGAUGUUAGCGGCGGACGGGUGAGUAACACGUGGAUAACCUACCUAUAAGACUGGGAUAACUUCGGGAAACCGGAGCUAAUACCGGAUAAUAUUUUGAACCGCAUGGUUCAAAAGUGAAAGACGGUCUUGCUGUCACUUAUAGAUGGAUCCGCGCUGCAUUAGCUAGUUGGUAAGGUAACGGCUUACCAAGGCAACGAUGCAUAGCCGACCUGAGAGGGUGAUCGGCCCCACUGGAACUGAGACACGUUCCAGACUCCUACGGGAGGCAGCAGUAGGGAAUCUUCCGCAAUGGGCGAAAGCCUGACGGAGCAACGCCGCGUGAGUGAUGAAGGCCUUCGGAUCGUAAAACUCUGUUAUUAGGGAAGAACAUAUGUGUAAGUAACUGUGCACAUCUUGACGGUACCUAAUCAGAAAGCCACGGCUAACUACGU